GACGGGGGAUGCAAGCGUUAUCCGGAAUCACUGGGCGUAAAGCGUCUGUAGGUGGUGAUGCAAGUCACUGGUGCAAAACUCUGGCUCAACCGGAGGAAAGCCAGUGAAACUGCAUGACUAGAGUGUGGGAGAGGUAGAAGGAAUUCCCUGAGUAGCGGUGAAAUGCGUAGAUACAGGGAAGAACACCGGAGGCGAAAGCGUUCCACGGGAACACAACUGACACUGAGAGCCGAAAGCUAGGGGAGCGAAUGGG
rnacentral:rRNA from 1 species